CCUACGGGAGGCAGCAGUGAGGAAUAUUGGUCAUUGGACGCAAGUCUGAACCAGCCAUGCCGCGUGCAGGAAGACGGCUCUAUGAGUUGUAAACUGCUUUUGUACGAGGGUAAACGCAGAUACGCGUAUCUGUCUGCAAGUAUCUUACGAAUAAGGAUCGGCUAACUCCGUUCCAGCAGCCGCGGUAAUACGGAGGAUUCAAGCGUUAUCCGAAUUUAUUGGGUUUAAAGGGUGCGUAGGCGGUCGGAUAAGUUAGAGGUGAAAUCCCGAGGCUCAACUUCGGAAUUGCCUCUGAUACUUUUCGGCUAGAGAGUAGUUGCGGUAGGCGGAAUGUAUGGUGUAGCGGUGAAAUGCUUAGAGAUCAUACAGAACACCGAUUGCGAAGGCAGCUUACCAAGCUACUUCUGACGUUGAGGCACGAAAGCGUGGGGAGCAAACAGGAUUAGAUACCCCUGUAGUC
rnacentral:rRNA from 1 species